CAAAAUCCGUGACAUCCUGAUAUAAAGUUGGAGCGCUUAUUUUGUUUUGGCAAAAUGUUUCAUCAGAUCUGCUGUAUUAUAGAUUAUCGGUUAGUACACCUACAUUUCAACUGCACGAUUAAAUUGUUAACCAAUCAAGUAGUUAAUAGCAGUCGAUGGAUGGCCAUAUGGUUCACAUUCGUUUGCCAUCUGAAGGACCAUGUUCAUAUCCCAGAUCUUACAUUUCUAAAUUUUUUACGAAUGAUCUUAGCCUUUCUCGAUCCUUCACUUGAUAGCGAAUCCCAUCAUUGAUUCACUGACUUACAGUGUGCAUUCGAAUGUCU
rnacentral:lncRNA from 1 species